rnacentral:rRNA from 3 species
GAAGGCUAUGUUGGCCGGGCGACGGUUGUCCCGGUUUAAGCGUGUAGGCUGGUUUUCCAGGCAAAUCCGGAAAAUCAAGGCUGAGGCGUGAUGACGAGGCACUACGGUGCUGAAGCAACAAAUGCCCUGCUUCCAGGAAAAGCCUCUAAGCAUCAGGUAACAUCAAAUCGUACCCCAAACCGACACAGGUGGUCAGGUAGAGAAUACCAAGGCGCUUGAGAGAACUCGGGUGAAGGAACUAGGCAAAAUGGUGCCGUAACUUCGGGAGAAGGCACGC